UGGGGAAUUUUGCACAAUGGGCGCAAGCCUGAUGCAGCCAUGCCGCGUGUAUGAAGAAGGCCUUCGGGUUGUAAAGUACUUUCAGCGGGGAGGAAGGGAGUAAAGUUAAUACCUUUGCUCAUUGACGUUACCCGCAGAAGAAGCACCGGCUAACUCCGUGCCAGCAGCCGCGGUAAUACGGAGGGUGCAAGCGUUAAUCGGAAUUACUGGGCGUAAAGCGCACGCAGGCGGUUUGUUAAGUCAGAUGUGAAAUCCUCGGGCUCAACCUGGGAACUGCAUCUGAUACUGGCAAGCUUGAGUCUCGUAGAGGGGGGUAGAAUUCCAGGUGUAGCGGUGAAAUGCGUAGAGAUCUGGAGGAAUACCGGUGGCGAAGGCGGCCCCCUGGACAAAGACUGACGCUCAGGUGCGAAAGCGUGGGGAGCAAACAGG
rnacentral:rRNA from 1 species